rnacentral:misc_RNA from 1 species
AAGUCCUAGCUAGGUUUCCGUAGGCGAACCUGCGGAAAGAUCACCCAUAAUAAGUUUUACCAAACAUCAACUUAUUCUCUAGCACUUUGUCUGAAAAAUAUCAUAAAUAAAAUAAUUCAAAAUAAAACCUUCAACAAUGGAUCUCUUGGCUCUC